CUUUAAGAUGCGGAGGCAGCCCGGGUAAGUUCUUUUGCUGUUGGGCUUUUGUUGAAUUUAGAAAUGCGCUUGGAAUAUUAGUUGUUGUUUCUCACAUGCAUAUGUUUUUCAUCCUUUAUUUUUAAAAUAGGAAACUAAAAGAACCAAAAUGUUUUUUUUUUUUAUCUGUAUGGUUGGCGAGAAAAAAAAUAAUAAGGAAAAGAAUUGGAAUCUCACGAUGUUGUUUAGAAGGCCGAAGAGAAUAUCAGAAUUUUGGAUGAUUUGGAAAUAUUUGGUGUUGUUGACUGGAGAUCUUGGAAGUAAUGAUGCGAAAUACAUUGCUUCCCUUAAAAAAGGAUUAAUUGAUGUGGCUAUUUAGGUUAUAGAAAUUUUAUUCUAUUUCUGUAUCGGAUUAUGCUCUAUGGGCAAGUAUAUUGUUCCAUUUCAAGUGAAUGAAGCACGAAAGUUCUGCUUAGCGUUAGUGAAAUCUACACCUUGGGACUCUUUUGGUUUUGUUUGGUAAAGUGGAUGGAAAAGUUAAAGAAUAUGAUAUGCCAUCACUGCCACUAUCAAUGUAUUUUAUGACCUUUUCUUGAUAAAUUUUACUAUUCAGCUUAUUUUGUGCUAUUGAUAUAGCAAUGAAGCACAGACCAUUAGGGUCUAUGUCUUUUACUCUAUUAUGGGUUUAUUUUUUUGCUGAUGCAUGUUGUUUUUAUGAUUAUUAAUUGAUUUUACGUUGAAAUCCAGUUUUGUAUUUUUAGAAUUAUCUAUCAAAUUUGUAAACUUUAAUUUAUUGAAUUGGAAGAUUUGACCAUCUGUUGAUGAAGACAAAAUUUUCUUCGCAGAUACCUACUCUAACCUCCCAAUAAACCAAUCCAUAAUCAUUUAUACAUAAUCCCAGUAAGGCCGGAGUCAUUGAUUCUUCUUCUCCUGCUUUAAUGUAGUGCCCGUGUGGGACGGAUGUUAUGUCUGCUGCUGUGAACCAUCUAUGUAUCUAACACCAGUUGUUCUUGAGU
rnacentral:misc_RNA from 1 species